rnacentral:rRNA from 1 species
CAGAGGUGCCAAGCGUUAGGCGGAAUCACUGGGCUUAAAGCGUGUGUAGGCGGAUCGUUAAGUACCUUGUGAAAUCCCACGGCUCAACCGUGGAACUGCUCGGUAUACUGGCGGUCUUGAGCCACCUAGGGGCAACUGGAACAAGCGGUGGAGCGGUGAAAUGCGUAGAUAUCGCUUGGAACGCCAACGGUGAAAACAGGUUGCUGGGGGUGUGCUGACGCUGAGACACGAAAGCCAGGGGAGCGAACGGGAUUAGAUACCCCGGUAGUCCUGGCCCUAAACGAUGUCGACUAGAUCGUAGUGCCUCUGACGGUAUUACGGUCGAAGCAAAAGUGCUAAGUCGACCGCCUGGGAAGUACGGUCGCAAGGCUA